CCGUACACAAAAGCGCAUGUGCUGUGAGCUCGAUGAGUAGGGCGGGACACGUGGUAUCCUGUCUGAAUAUGGGGGGACCAUCCUCCAAGGCUAAAUACUCCUGACUGACCGAUAGUGAACCAGUACCGUGAGGGAAAGGCGAAAAGAACCCCGGCGAGGGGAGUGAAAAAGAACCUGAAACCGUGUACGUACAAGCAGUGGGAGCACAGGUUUACCUGUGUGACUGCGUACCUUUUGUAUAAUGGGUCAGCGACUUAUAUUCUGUAGCAAGGUUAACCGAAUAGGGGAGCCGGAGGGAAACCGAGUCUUAAUUGGGCGUUAAGUUGCAGGGUAUAGACCCGAAACCCGGUGAUCUAGCCAUGGGCAGGUUGAAGGUUGGGUAACACUAACUGGAGGACCGAACCGACUAAUGUUGAAAAAUUAGCGGAUGACCUGUGGCUGGGGGUGAAAGGCCAAUCAAACCGGGAGAUAGCUGGUUCUCCCCGAAAGCUAUUUAGGUAGCGCCUCGUGAAUUCAUCUCCGGGGGUAGAGCACUGUUUCGGCUAGGGGGCCAUCCCGGCUUACCAACCCGAUGCAAACUGCGAAUACCGGAGAAUGUUAUCACGGGAGACACACGGCGGGUGCUAACGUCCGUCGUGAAGAGGGAAACAACCCAGACCGCCAGCUAAGGUCCCAAAGUCAUGGUUAAGUGGGAAACGAUGUGGGAAGGCCCAGACAGCCAGGAUGUUGGCUUAGAAGCAGCCAUCAUUUAAAGAAAGCGUAAUAGCUCACUGGUCGAGUCGGCCUGCGCGGAAGAUGUAACGGGGCUAAACCAUGCACCGAAGCUGCGGCAGCGAACGUAUCACCCAAGACAACUUUACGGAGUUGACGAUUGACGGAGCGAAGCGACGUCAAAGCGUUCAUUAAAGUCGAGUUGGCUUAGGGAUACGUUCGUUGGGUAGGGGAGCGUUCUGUAAGCCUGUGAAGGUGUGUCGUGAGGCAUGCUGGAGGUAUCAGAAGUGCGAAUGCUGACAUAAGUAACGAUAAAGCGGGUGAAAAGCCCGCUCGCCGGAAGACCAAGGGUUCCUGUCCAACGUUAAUCGGGGCAGGGUGAGUCGACCCCUAAGGCGAGGCCGAAAGGCGUAGUCGAUGGGAAACGGGUUAAUAUUCCCGUACUUGGUGUUACUGCGAAGGGGGGACGGAGAAGGCUAUGUUGGCCGGGCGACGGUUGUCCCGGUUUAAGCGUGUAGGUGUGUGUUCCAGGUAAAUCCGGUUCACUUUAACACUGAGGCGUGACGACGAGGCACUACGGUGCUGAAGCAACAAAUGCCCUGCUUCCAGGAAAAGCCUCUAAGCAUCAGGUAACACGAAAUCGUACCCCAAACCGACACAGGUGGUCAGGUAGAGAAUACCAAGGCGCUUGAGAGAACUCGGGUGAAGGAACUAGGCAAAAUGGUGCCGUAACUUCGGGAGAAGGCACGCUGACACGUAGGUGAAGUGAUUUACUCAUGGAGCUGAAGUCAGUCGAAGAUACCAGCUGGCUGCAACUGUUUAUUAAAAACACAGCACUGUGCAAACACGAAAGUGGACGUAUACGGUGUGACGCCUGCCCGGUGCCGGAAGGUUAAUUGAUGGGGUCAGCGCAAGCGAAGCUCCUGAUCGAAGCCCCGGUAAACGGCGGCCGUAACUAUAACGGUCCUAAGGUAGCGAAAUUCCUUGUCGGGUAAGUUCCGACCUGCACGAAUGGCGUAAUGAUGGCCAGGCUGUCUCCACCCGAGACUCAGUGAAAUUGAACUCGCUGUGAAGAUGCAGUGUACCCGCGGCAAGACGGAAAGACCCCGUGAACCUUUACUAUAGCUUGACACUGAACAUUGAGCCUUGAUGUGUAGGAUAGGUGGGAGGCUUUGAAGUGUGGACGCCAGUCUGCAUGGAGCCGACCUUGAAAUACCACCCUUUAAUGUUUGAUGUUCUAACGUGGACCCGUAAUCCGGGUUGCGGACAGUGUCUGGUGGGUAGUUUGACUGGGGCGGUCUCCUCCUAAAGAGUAACGGAGGAGCACGAAGGUUGGCUAAUCCUGGUCGGACAUCAGGAGGUUAGUGCAAUGGCAUAAGCCAGCUUGACUGCGAGCGUGACGGCGCGAGCAGGUGCGAAAGCAGGUCAUAGUGAUCCGGUGGUUCUGAAUGGAAGGGCCAUCGCUCAACGGAUAAAAGGUACUCCGGGGAUAACAGGCUGAUACCGCCCAAGAGUUCAUAUCGACGGCGGUGUUUGGCACCUCGAUGUCGGCUCAUCACAUCCUGGGGCUGAAGUAGGUCCCAAGGGUAUGGCUGUUCGCCAUUUAAAGUGGUACGCGAGCUGGGUUUAGAACGUCGUGAGACAGUUCGGUCCCUAUCUGCCGUGGGCGCUGGAGAACUGAGGGGGGCUGCUCCUAGUACGAGAGGACCGGAGUGGACGCAUCACUGGUGUUCGGGUUGUCAUGCCAAUGGCACUGCCCGGUAGCUAAAUGCGGAAGAGAUAAGUGCUGAAAGCAUCUAAGCACGAAACUUGCCCCGAGAUGAGUUCUCCCUGAGACUUAGAGUCUCCUGAAGGAACGUUGAAGACGACGACGUUGAUAGGCCGGGUGUGUAAGCGCAGCGAUGCGUUGAGCUAACCGGUACUAAUGAACCGUGAGGCUUAACCUUACAACGCCGAAG
rnacentral:rRNA from 1 species